UUAAGAUACCCUGACCACCUAACUAUCAUUGGGUUCUGAAUAGAUCAGUGUGAUGGAAAGUGUUUAAGAAACUUAACUGUGGGCCGUAAAAUCCAUUUUGUUAUGGCUCAAAAUCAAUCCCAAAUGAUCUUUAUUUCAUAGUAUUUUACUUUGAUCUGUCAAGAAUCAUGAAAAUGAAGUUGUGGAGUAAUUUUAAAUACGUUAUAAUUGUCUUGACAGUCAUUAGUACGACUGCAUCAAGAGAAAUAAACAACAAACCAUUAUAUCGAAUGAAAGCAACCACCAAUAGUGACAAUAACAAACUGGAACUGAAUUUAACUGGUAAACUGUAUAACCCUUACCACCCGGAAGAUGGUUACCUUGUCAAAGAUACAGACCUAGCAUCUGAAUACGAGUUUAGUGCGGAUGUCGUGUCCGAUAAAAUGUAUAUUUCCGAUGAACUAUUUCGAAUUGUUCACUAAUAAUUAAAUGUAAAAUUAAUUCUAAUAAUACACGUUUUACUUAAUAA